rnacentral:rRNA from 1 species
UACGAAGGGUGCAAGCGUUACUCGGAAUUACUGGGCGUAAAGCGUGCGUAGGUGGUUCGUUAAGUCUGUCGUGAAAGCCCCGGGCUCAACCUGGGAAUGGCGAUGAUACUGGCGGGCUAGAGUGCGGUAGAGGAGAGUGGAAUUCCCGGUGUAGCAGUGAAAGCGUAGAGAUCGGGAGGAACAUCAGUUGCGAAGGCGGCUCUCUGGACCAGCACUGACACUGAGGCACGAAAGCGUGGGGAGCAAACAGG